CUACGGGGGGCACCAGUGAGGAAUAUUGCACAAUGGGGGGAACCCUGAUGCAGCAACGCCGCGUGGAGGAUGACGCAUUUCGGUGUGUAAACUCCUUUUAUAUGUCAAGAAAAUGACGGUAGCAUAUGAAUAAGCACCGGCUAACUCCGUGCCAGCAGCCGCGGUAAUACGGAGGGUGCAAGCGUUACUCGGAAUCACUGGGCGUAAAGGACGCGUAGGCGGGUUGGAAAGUCAGGUGUGAAAUCCUACAGCUUAACUGUAGAACUGCACUUGAAACUUCUAAUCUAGAGUAUGGGAGGGGAGGAUGGAAUUAGUGGUGUAGGGGUAAAAUCCGUAGAUAUCACUAGGAAUACCUAAAGCGAAGGCGAUCUCCUGGAACAUUACUGACGCUAAGGCGUGAAAGCGUGGGGAGCAAACAGGAUUAGAUACCCUUGUAGUC
rnacentral:rRNA from 1 species